UGUGACCUCUGUCUCAAAACCUACUUCCACUCCAGCGCUUACGAAGUCUGUGUCUACAGUCACGUUACCGAUGAUGACCAGUGCUCCCCUGUACACAGAGUCAUGAAUGAGCUUAGCAAGUACACUAAAAACUCUCGCUUUCCUUUCAAUAUGUUUAUGCUGGUUCUUCCUACAACACAUGCUCCAGAGAACAGAGAUUUAUGCCAUAGUCUCUUCCUCUGAAUCUCUGCUGAGUCAGUUCUGGUGUUUGGGCUCACAUAUCACAUGAGACUGUCUGGCUCCAUGCUUUCAACCUCCACCUUAAAUGAUCUAUUCAACAUGGCCGAUGAGUGGGCUGAGUGGAGGUAUGCCAAUCUUGUGUGCCCGACAGAGCAUGCUUUUUAAAGUUUCUAAACAUAUCCCGCUUGUGUCUGACUAUGUGUGUCUGCGUGCAUAACUAUCUUUCUAUCGGUUUUCUCCGCUUCUGUGUGCCUGCACUCACAUGUGUUUACAUAUUAGCUUGUCUGUCUGUCAAUGAGUCUUUGUUUGUCUGCUUGUGUGUGUGUGUGUGUGCAUUUUCAUAGAAAGUAAAGCCUGUCGCUCUGUUUCGUACACCUGCUCCUGCCUAUCCUGAGGACUGGCAGAUGUAAAAAACCAGAUGCCACCUAGAAAUACCCAUCAUCAAACAAAGAACAGCAAACCUACGCUGCUAAAAGUAAGGUAAAAAAAAAGAG